GGGCCCAACCCCGGGACUGCAUUGGAAACUGUUGAACUGGAGUACAGGAGGGGUAAGCGGAAUUCCUAGUGUAGCGGUGAAAUGCGUAGAUAUUAGGAGGAACACCAGUGGCGAAGGCGACUUUCUGGACAGUAACUGACGUUGAGGCACGAAAGUGUGGGGAGCAAACAG
rnacentral:rRNA from 1 species